CGGAAUUGUGAAUUGUCAUGGACAAAUUCAUUAUGAAAAAAAAAGAAUCGGCAAGUAAAUAUUUCGAAUAUGGAAAAGAAACAAGCCAAAGUCCAAAGUGAAGAGGCCUUCAGCUCUAGGUCCAACGGAUGAACAGAGGCAGCCAUUUCCAAAGUGUAAUAGCGUAAUAGUGAGGAGGAGCUAACUCUACUACCAUAACAUCAGGAGCAGGAACUGCUCAUCAUUUCCCAUCAGAGUUAUCUCCCCUGAUACCACUUCAUCAAGGCGGGGACAGUUAUUGGCAACAAAUCCACAAGUGAGCAGAACAUAUCGUCAAAACUGUGAAAGGAUGUUGCUACUCCUACCAUAUUUGACACCUUAGAAUUCUAGUCGGUAUCUACAUUGAUUAGAGAUCAACAAAAUGAAACAAGAUGAACAGUGUUAACUCACAAGUGAUCAUCAUCCAUUGGAUUAAUAGCUGAAUAAAGGAUUUAAUAACUACAGUU